GUGGGGAAUCUUCCGCAAUGGACGAAAGUCUGACGGAGCGACGCCGCGUGAGUGAUGAAGGCCUUCGGGUCGUAAAGCUCUGUCAUCGGGGACGAAUGGUCGUUGGAGUGGAAAGCCAGCGAAAUGACGGUACCCGAGAAGGAAGCCACGGCUAACUACGUGCCAGCAGCCGCGGUAAUACGUAGGUGGCAAGCGUUGUCCGGAAUUAUUGGGCGUAAAGCGCGCGCAGGUGGGAUCUUAAGUCCAUUUUGAAAGUUCGGAGCUCAACUCCGUGAUGGGAUGGAAACUGGGAUUCUUGAGUACCGGAGAGGAAAGCGGAAUUCCCCGUGUAGCGGUGAAAUGCGUAGAUAUGGGGAGGAACACCAGUGGCGAAGGCGGCUUUCUGGACGGUGUCUGACACUGAGGCGCGAAAGCCAGGGGAGCGAACGGGAUUAGAUACCCUAGUAGUCC
rnacentral:rRNA from 1 species